UAAGGGCUCACCAAGGCGACGAUCCCUAGCUGGUCUGAGAGGAUGAUCAGCCACACUGGAACUGAGACACGGUCCAGACUCCUACGGGAGGCAGCAGUGGGGAAUAUUGCACAAUGGGCGCAAGCCUGAUGCAGCCAUGCCGCGUGUAUGAAGAAGGCCUUCGGGUUGUAAAGYACUUUCAGUCGUGAGGAAGGCGGCUUCGUUAAUAGCGUCAUCAUUUGACGUUAGCGACAGAAGAAGCACCGGCUAACUCCGUGCCAGCAGCCGCGGUAAUACGGAGGGUGCGAGCGUUAAUCGGAAUUACUGGGCGUAAAGCGCAUGCAGGUGGUUUGUUAAGUCAGAUGUGAAAGCCCGGGGCUCAACCUCGGAAUAGCAUUUGAAACUGGCAGACUAGAGUACUGUAGAGGGGGGUAGAAUUUCAGGUGU
rnacentral:rRNA from 1 species